rnacentral:lncRNA from 1 species
GCAUUUCUCCUGCAGCGAAUUGGUAGUUUGCUGAGGAAUGUAACAUAUCCUGUCCACUGAGGCCAGGCAGGGCUGCAGGUAAAUUGCUUCUUGGAACAGAAAGCCUGUGAGAGUCAGCACAGUGGGCCUAUUUAAUAGAAUUAUUUCCUUAACCUUGUGUUCCCACCAUCCUCAUCUAUCUGUUCCCUAACAGAAAGACUGGUUCAAGAUCCUCCUUGUGGCUGGGCACUAGACCCUGUAAUCCCAGUGUGGCUGAGGCAGGAGGAUCACAAGUUCAAGGCUACUCUCAGCAACUUAGCAAGGUACUAAGGAAUUUAGGGAGAGCCUCUCUCAAAAUAAAAAAUAAAAAAGGCUGGGGAUGUGGCUCAGUGGUUUGAGUGCCCUGGUACCAAAAAAAAAAACAAAAACAAAGAUCCUCUUUCUCUGGCCAUUCACUAACUCAUGUUUUUCUUGAGAUCUUACCCAUCUCUCUUCUGCAGACAAAUUUUCAGGAGCACGGACCCUGCAUUCCCCUGCUUGCUCGCUGUAUCUUUCAGGAAAGUCUCUGGGCCUGGGAGAUAACCCAGCACUCACUUUAUAGGAUUGUUGUCAGGAGUAAAUGGGAUGCUCCACAGAAAGACCUUGAACUUAACAAGUACCCAAUGAAUAUGGACAAUCACCUGUGAAGAUCCUGCAGUCCCAGAGCCAUGAGUCUCCUAGCUCAGCUGAUGAUUAGGUGUGCGAGUCCUUGGGUCCCAGGAGCCCCUUUCCCUGUUGGUACCCCUUGUCUGUUCUGGAAAAUGGGCACUACUAGGUAAUCCAAGGAGGGAUUGCAAUGCAGGGGACUAGUUACAAAAGAUUGGAGGAGCUGGGAGUGCAAGAUGCUGAGGCAGAGCAGAGGCCCUUGUCCUUAAGCUGAAAGGACAGGAGGAGGUGGUUACCAACACCAGAGAAUCCAAGCCUCCCAGUGAACACUGGGGCCACCCAGGAGGAGCGAUGGAACCAAACUAGUUGGACUACUGUGUGGUUUCUCCCUAACUCCCACCCUUCCUCCUGGCAAUGGUGCUAAGGUAGAUGGUGGAGUCGGUGCCUGCGACAUAGAGCAGAAGAGGCAGGGCGAGGAGGGACCGGGCUUGUUACUAACCCUCCUGCACUUGAGUGUUCUAAACUGAGUAAGAAAAGUGGGGGAAGAGAAGGAACUGCCUAUGAUGUCUGGGAGGAUGAUUGGAGAAAGGCAGCUCAGAGUCUGGUCAUUCACUGAAAAGGUGCUCAAGUUGUUCCUGCUCAGGAUCCAAGGCCCGACGUCGUCACUCCCCUGUGUGAUCUUAUACCAUUUUGCUCAUACUUUUAUCAGGGUGUUUCUCACAUGGCAGUGCCGUUUGGAUCUAUUACCUGACUCUUCCACCAGAGUACGGCUCCCAGGAGCCCCUUUCCCUGUUGGUACCCCUUGUCCUCGGGUGCAGACCCUGCAGGUCAACAUGCAGCACUGCACCAUCCAAAGCAGCCUCCCAGCAUGGCUGGGGCUGAGGACUGUGGAUUCCCAGCCGGGGUCACUAACAGGAUUUUAAAGGAGGGAAAGAAAAGAGGGAGGAAGAGACAGGAGGUCAGAGGAAGAUGGAAUGGCUCGGGGUGGGGGUUCAUUCCAGGUCAUGAAUAUGUAGCAAGACUUGUGAGGUCUGGUUUCUAAGCUACCAGGUGUCAAUGGGACUGGGGCUGGGGCUCAGCGGUAGAGCGCUUGCCUGGCACGGGUCAGGUGCUGGAUUUGAUCCUAAGUGCCACAUAUAAAUAAAUAAAUAAAUAAAAUAGAAUAAAGGUAUUGUGUCC